CAAUUGAUCAACAGUGCGUAUAGGUCCUAAAGGCAUUAAAAUUUAACAGAGAGUUUGUGGGAAAACGAGAAAAUAUUUGACUAUUAUCAGAUAACACAGAAAUUUCAACUUUUGCACGAGCUGAGAGAAGCGAAGGCGAGGGCGAGGCUAACGAGAAUGCGACUGACAACCCAAGAGUCGAAGAUAAUGAAGAGAGAGAAAGGAGGACAAGCGUUGGAAGCAAUAAUAUCGAAGAAGGAGACGCGAGAGAAAGCAUCGCGGAUAAAGGAACCAAACGAGAAGAGGAGAAGCUUAAAAGUAGCGACGCUGGAAAGAAACGAAAAGUUUCGUUUGGCGAGCGUUCAACGUCAGAUAGCAGCCUCGAAGAUGGAAGAAAGGAUGAGAAAGAAGAUCACGAUGGCGAUGACAAUAAAAGCUGUAUAAGAAUCGAAAAUUUAUGGCUAAGGCAGUUUAUUUAUAAUUUGUGCGUUCAUUUCGUCGCAUAUAUAGCCUGCAUCCUGAUCGUGACUCUGACUCUUGUGAUUGGAUAUUUUCUAAACGCAUCGAUGUAAGCGAUUACGACAAGUAGCUACAGUAGUUGAACAGGUAAUAAUAUUAAUGUUAUUGAUGUUGAACAUUUUUACCUUUGUAAAUGUAUCGUUAUUAGACUGCGAAUUUUUCUGCAAAUUCAUAUUUUCAUGAUUGCAAUUAAAAAAGUGAGAUUAUCUUAUUCCUUUGUAUAUAUCAUCAUCGAGAAUUAAUGAAUAUUUUUCUGCAUCUAAUUGUAAGAAAGAAAAACCCGAAUCUUGGAAACAGCGGAAUUGAAUGUUCGAUGGUCAUCAUAGAGCGGUGAAGAAUCUAAGCUAUACCGCCACGUUUGAUUAUGCUGAAAGCAUGCGUCUGUCCGUGUUCCAUGCACGGACCUUCUCGUUCACAUAUUCGGUUGGUCCGUGGUCUCUAAAUGACUUUAAAAACAGGUUCUCUCGACCUGAUCACUGCUAUCGAUUCGAAUGCCGAAUUGAAACUGGACAACGACUUGAUGUAUCGAUUUCAUUGCAUGUCCCAGUUCCGUCGAACCUGGCACGUUCAGAUAAGGACACUAGGAGUCAGCAGGGUAGCUUCUUCCCCUCUGUGACUUACUGACUUGAUUUAGGCUUGAUGUAAACGAGCAAUACGAUGCUAUUGAGACUUUGCAAGAUCUGCAUUUUUGUUACUAGGUAGAACAAAUAUGUACCUUUAACUUUUAAUGGGAAAUAAAUAUUAACGACAGCGUUAUGUAUAAUGAUAUUUAAAAUGAAAGUGUAAGACUUGGAAGAUUUGUGUUUCUAAUGACAGGACUGUGGAUGGUUGUACGCUCAUGAUAACGCUAUGUGUAAAUAAUACAAUAUAUCGUUAUUAGCGUUUCUUAAUAUUUGUUAAUGUUCCUUAAUGUUUUUUAAUAAUUCAAAUUUACAUUGUGUUAAAUUUAUGAAAAGGUGGUAAUAUUUCUUUUAAUUAUUAUUAACGUAUCGUUUAUUCGUGUUUGUAUCCUUUACUGAGAUUUAAAUAUUGUUACUAAAAAUCGACUAUAAUGCUACUUAUGAAUAGUAAUGUGAAUAAAGCUAUAAAUCUCUCGUUUAGUAUACAUAUUUAAUAUACCUAUGAUAUGAAUACGGCUUGUAAACGAAUUGUAGAAAAUAGAAUUUUAUCCUUGGAUUACAUCUUU
rnacentral:lncRNA from 1 species